UACGGAGGGUGCGAGCGUUGUCCGGAAUCAUUGGGCGUAAAGGGCGCGUAGGUGGCGCGGUAAACGUGCGGUGAAAGCUCGGGGCUCAACCCCGAGUCGGCCGUGCGAACUGCUGGGCUUGAGCACUGUAGAGGCAGGCGGAAUUCCGGGUGUAGCGGUGGAAUGCGUAGAGAUCCGGAAGAACACCGGUGGCGAAGGCGGCCUGCUGGGCAGUAGCUGACACUGAGGCGCGACAGCGUGGGGAGCAAACAGG
rnacentral:rRNA from 1 species